UUUGAUCCUGGCUCAGGAUGAACGGCUGGCGGCGUGCUUAACACAUGCAAGUCGAACGAUGAAGCUCCAGCUUGCUGGGGUGGAUUAGUGGCGAACGGGUGAGUAACACGUGAGUAACCUGCCCUUGACUCUGGGAUAAGCCUUGGAAACGGGGUCUAAUACCGGAUAGGAGCAUUCACCGCAUGGUGGGUGUUGGAAAGAAUUUCGGUCUUGGAUGGACUCGCGGCCCAUCAGCUUGUUGGUGAGGUAAUGGCUCACCAAGGCGACGACGGGUAGCCGGCCUGAGAGGGUGACCGGCCACACUGGGACUGAGACACGGCCCAGACUCCUACGGGAGGCAGCAGUGGGGAAUAUUGCACAAUGGGCGCAAGCCUGAUGCAGCGACGCCGCGUGAGGGAUGACGGCCUUCGGGUUGUAAACCUCUUUCAGUAGGGAAGAAGCGAAA
rnacentral:rRNA from 1 species